AAUGCGUGAAGGACAGCGGCCGUCUCCACAGUCGACGACCACGCCUCUCCGUCGCGGUCACCCGCGACUCGCAUUCGAAACGGCCGUUUCCUCCUCUUCUCCGCGAAUGAAGCAAGCAAUCCCACUCGUUUGAAACCCUCGCGGCCCCAUUGCCGCCACGGCCACGGCUACUCCCAUUCGCCCACCCCAACUCCUCCCGGCCCGCCUCCUGCUCCCCGUCGCCUCCUCGGCGGAGCGGAAUACUGGCUUCUGGAGCCCUCGACGAAGAGGGUUUCGUCCCCACCGGAGACCCACCUCUCAUCACCACCACCACCGUCGUUCACGAGGUCACCUUCCUGACGCUCGUGUGGAGGGUUCUCUUCUGAACAAAGAAUACAAAAUGAAGUGCAAUGCUUGCUGGCGGGAGUUGGAAGGGCAAGCCAUAACAACAACUUGUGGCCAUGUUUUAUGUACAGAGGAUGCAAAGAAAAUACUCAGUAACGAUGGUGCAUGUCCAAUUUGUGACCAAGUACUUUCCAAAAGCCAUAUGAAGCCUACUGACAUAAAUCCAAGCGAUGAAUGGACAAAUAUGUCAAUGACUGGAGUUUCUCCACAGAUACUUAUGAAGAGUGCAUACAGAAGUGUCAUGUUUUACAUCGGACAAAAGGAUCUGGAGAUGCAAUACAAGAUGAACAGAAUUGUUGGUCAAUGUAGGCAAAAGUGUGAAGUUAUGCAGGCAAAGUUCACUGAAAAACUGGAAGAAGUGCAUGCGGCAUACCAGAAGAUGGCCAAAAGAUGCCAGUUGAUGGAACAAGAGAUUGAAAACUUGACAAGGGAUAAGCAGGAGUUACAAGAAAAAUUUGCAGAGAAAUCCAGGCAGAAGAGGAAGCUUGACGAGAUGUAUGAUCAGCUGAGAAACGAGUAUGAAUCAGUAAAACGUUCAGCCAUUCAACCUGCAAACAACUACUUCCCAAGAGCUCAGCCUGACUUGUUCUCAGGCAUGCCCAACAUAUUGGACAGCGGCGACCCUCUGAGACAAGGAUCGAUUGAUCCUCCUGAAACCCCAGGGCGCAGAGAUGAGGGAUGGGCUCCACAACCAAGGCAACGACGUGAGAACUCUGGUCCAUUUGAGCUGUCUGGGGGGUCUCCUGGUCACACUGCUGCACCUCCGAUGGAUAUGAGACCCAGACAGCCGCCACGGUCCGUCUUUGGAGCUAACAUGAACAAUUCUUCGACAGCUCUGAGAAAUAUGAUAAUCUCACCAGUGAAGCGUCCUCAGCCCCGUAACCGUCCACAAAUGUUCACGUUAUAGAGUUGGAAGAGCCGAGGAGAUGUUCUGCUUCUGUUCCGUCUUAAUCUUGUCAUGGAAUGGUCUGCUGCACAGACGACGUUUCCUUGUUCAAUCCUCGUACGAUGCAACACCGAGUGGUCUGCUGCACAUUAAAUCCUUUUGUUUUGCGGGGAUGCUGCACAUUGAAUCCACCUCACCGGCAGUUCGAUCUGAUGUGUCGGACAUGGAUUAUACGGGAAGUAUUGUACAUGUUCUUGUCAGACCUUUGUUGAAUAAUUAAUAAAGAUGGCUGUAUGCAUUGAUUGA